rnacentral:rRNA from 1 species
UUUUAUGAGAGUUUGAUCCUGGCUCAGGACGAACGCUGGCGGCGUGCCUAAUACAUGCAAGUCGAACGCUUCUUUUUCCACCGGAGCUUGCUCCACCGGAAAAAGAGGAGUGGCGAACGGGUGAGUAACACGUGGGUAACCUGCCCAUCAGAAGGGGGUAACACUUGGAAACAGGUGCUAAUACCGUAUAACAAUCGAAACCGCAUGGUUUUGAUUUGAAAGGCGCUUUCGGGUGUCGCUGAUGGAUGGACCCGCGGUGCAUUAGCUAGUUGGUGAGGUAACGGCUCACAAAGGCGACGAUGCAUAGCCGACCUGAGAGGGUGAUCGGCCACAUUGGGACUGAGACACGGCCCAAACUCCUACGGGAGGCAGCAGUAGGGAAUCUUCGGCAAUGGACGAAAGUCUGACCGAGCAACGCCGCGUGAGUGAAGAAGGUUUUCGGAUCGUAAAACUCUGUUGUUAGAGAAGAACAAGGAUGAGAGUAACUGUUCAUCCCUUGACGGUAUCUAACCAGAAAGCCACGGCUAACUACGUGCCAGCAGCCGCGGUAAUACGUAGGUGGCAAGCGUUGU